rnacentral:rRNA from 1 species
CUACGGGGGGCUGCAGUGGGGAAUAUUGCACAAUGGGCGCAAGCCUGAUGCAGCCAUGCCGCGUGUAUGAAGAAGGCCUUCGGGUUGUAAAGUACUUUCAGCGGGGAGGAAGGGAGUAAAGUUAAUACCUUUGCUCAUUGACGUUACCCGCAGAAGAAGCACCGGCUAACUCCGUGCCAGCAGCCGCGGUAAUACGGGGGGUGCAAGCGUUAAUCGGAAUUACUGGGCGUAAAGCGCACGCAGGCGGUUUGUUAAGUCAGAGGUGAAAUCCCCGGGCUCAACCUGGGAACUGCAUCUGAUACUGGCAAGCUUGAGUCUCGUAGAGGGGGGUAGAAUUCCAGGUGUAGCGGUGAAAUGCGUAGAGAUCUGGAGGAAUACCGGUGGCGAAGGCGGCCCCCUGGACGAAGACUGACGCUCAGGUGCGAAAGCGUGGGGAGCAAACAGGAUUAGAUACCCCGGUAGUC